rnacentral:RNase_P_RNA from 2 species
UAAGUAGACUGGAUGAUCGCAAGUAUGGUAAAAUGGGCUAUACUUGAGGAAAGUCCGGGCUCCAUAGAGCAGGAUGCUGGUUAACGGCCAGCCGGAGUAAUUCGAGGGAAAGUGCCACAGAGAGCAAACCGCCGAUGACCUUUAAGGUACAGGUAAGGGUGAAAGGGUGCGGUAAGAGCGCACCGGGGUUCUGGUGACAGAGUCCGCAUGGUAAACCCCAUCCGGAGCAAGACCAAGUAGGGAAAGGUUAAGAGUAGCUCGCUCGUCUUUCCGGGUUAGGUCGCUUGAGGUGGCAGGCAACUGUCAUCCUAGAUGGAUGGUCAUCACCCGUGAGGGUACAGAACCCGGCUUACAGGUCUACUUAUUUA